rnacentral:rRNA from 1 species
UGGGGAAUAUUGCGCAAUGGGGGGAACCCUGACGCAGCAACGCCGCGUGAAGGAUGAAGGCUUUCGGGUUGUAAACUUCUUUGAUGAGGGACGAAAGAAAUGACGGUACCUCAAAAACAAGCCACGGCUAACUACGUGCCAGCAGCCGCGGUAAUACGUAGGUGGCGAGCGUUGUCCGGAAUUACUGGGUGUAAAGGGCGUGUAGGCGGGGAUGCAAGUCAGAUGUGAAAUGCCGGGGCUUAACUCCGGAGCUGCAUCUGAAACUGUGUUUCUUGAGUGUCGGAGAGGAAAGCGGAAUUCCCAGUGUAGCGGUGAAAUGCGUAGAUAUUGGGAGGAACACCAGUGGCGAAGGCGGCUUUCUGGACGAUAACUGACGCUGAGGCGCGAAAAGCGUGGGGGAGCAAAACAGGAUUAGAUGCCCUGGUAGUCCACGCUGUAAACGAUGGAUACUAGGUGUAGGAGGUAUCGACCCCUUCUGUGCCGGAGUUAACACAAUAAGUAUCCCACCUGGGGGAGUACGGCCGCAAGGUUGAAACUUAAAUGAAUUGAC